AAAUAUUCGUACGAUUGCACAAUCAUUGGUGGACCCCACAACGAAAGUAUUGUCGUAGUUAGAAAAUGACAGAAUUAUCAUUUUAUAAAAAUAACGGCGAAAAUGUUACCGUUAAAACUGUUGAACUACCCGGUAGUAAAAGUACAGUAAUACGCGUGGUUGCAUAGUAGCACACGGUAUUGAUUAUUAAUGCUUACGUAAG
rnacentral:lncRNA from 1 species